UCUGAUGCUGCUAGCAAUGACCCUGCUCUGGUGAGCCUCAGUCACUCCUGACCUGUAUGGGCACCAAGGUCCUUUUCUGGGUGGGCUUCUGUCUCCUGGGAGCAGACCACACCCAUGCUGGAGUCUCCCAGUCCCCCAGGCACAGGGUCACAAAGACAGGAGAGAACAUAGCUCUCAGAACCAUCUCUCCCUCCCAGCUGCUCACAUCAACAGGUGUGCAUUGUCCAAGUCCUUCUUGGUGUAGGAUGCCCUUGGUCCUCCUUCCCUCUGCCCACCGCUGCCUUCCCCAUGAGAUACUGCUUUGUGCGUGAUUGUUGCCUUAAGGUUAGCCCACAUUUUCUUACAUUAUAAUUAACUUUUUAUCCACGUAUUUGACUCUGUCUUAAAAAAUGAUCUCAUUAUUAGCCCAGUUCUUUGCUCAUUUAUAUUUUUGAAGUAAUGAUUUGGUUAUGGUGGUUUGGAUUUCUUGGCAUUUUUGUUAUCAUGAGUAAUAUUAUACUUUAAUUCCUGUGUUUUCCUUACUAAUAGUUUACAAUAAAUAUUAUUUCCCGCCAUUCCUCUCAUUCUCUCUGUCUUUAAAUGAUAGUUUGAAGGAAGAAAAUCUAAGACAAGAACUGCCACGUCUGUGAGAGAAGAUGAGGGUGUUUUUUGAAAUGUGGCAAAUGAAAGAAAUAUUCAGGACUAGAAUCAGUGUUGGGAUCAGGGUUUAAGGAAACUGAUCCUAAAACUAAUCUAUUACGACUUCUGAAAAUCUUUCCCUGCUAAUUAUGCAGAGAAGGAAACAG